rnacentral:rRNA from 1 species
CUACGGAGGGUGCAAGCGUUACUCGGAAUCACUGGGCGUAAAGCGCGCGCAGGCGGCUAUUUAAGUUGGAUGUGAAAGCCUACGGCUCAACCGUAGAACUGCAUCCAAAACUAUUUAGCUAGAGUGUGAGAGAGGAAGAUGGAAUUAGUUGUGUAGGGGUAAAAUCCGUAGAGAUAACUAGGAAUACCAAAAGCGAAGGCAAUCUUCUGGAACACUACUGACGCUGAGGCGCGAAAGCGUGGGGAGCAAACAGAAUUAGAAACCCCAGUAGUCC